AUGUAAUAUUAAACAUGGCUAGCCAGCUUGAUCAAUCAGAGCUCAAACUGGUGGGCUAUUAUUUCGUUGAAGGUCCUUGAUUUUGCUUCUGCAUUUGCUGUUGUACCCUUGCUUACCACAGCUUCAGGCCAGCUUUCACAGCCCUGGAUCUCGAUUGAAGCAUCUCGCGCCAUUUUUAAGCAUGAAAGAUUCGUAGGUCUUAAAACUGGUUGCACGCACCGAGGUCAUCAGGCUUUGUAUUUUCAAAUUUCGGCCGGCUCACGAGUCCUGUUCAAAGUUUAUUUGGAACAAUGUUAAAUGUCAUUCUGUGAAGGAUAUGCUCUUACGUCUGUAUAGCCUGGAAGCAUAAUACAGAAAUACUACCAGAAGGACAACUCACACCAGCUUCAAUUCUUCAGCGCAGAGAAAUGACUACAUUGGUGGUCAAUCCUACAAGACCCUCCUACAUGAUAGAAUGAGGAUGUGGCCAUCAUUUUGUCAAGCAUCUACCGCUACUACCAGCCAUACUCUAAAGUAGCUGAACAACCUACCAAUAUGAAGCAUCCACCUACUUAGUAUUCAGUUAUUCAAAACUUAUCUAUGGACAACUAAUGUGUAAUAUUGAGUAUUGUAAUUUGCUAUCUA